UAGCAUAUCAAUAAGCGGAGGAAAAGAAACCAACAGGGAUUGCCCUAGUAACGGCGAGUGAAGCGGCAACAGCUCAAAUUUGAAAUCUGGCUCUCGGGCCCGAGUUGUAAUUUGUAGAGGAUACUUUUGAUGCGGUGCCUUCCGAGUUCCCUGGAACGGGACGCCAUAGAGGGUGAGAGCCCCGUCUGGUCGGAUGCCAAAUCUCUGUAAAGUUCCUUCGACGAGUCGAGUAGUUUGGGAAUGCUGCUCUAAAUGGGAGGUAUAUGUCUUCUAAAGCUAAAUACCGGCCAGAGACCGAUAGCGCACAAGUAGAGUGAUCGAAAGAUGAAAAGCACUUUGAAAAGAGAGUUAAAAAGUACGUGAAAUUGUUGAAAGGGAAGCGUUUAUGACCAGACUUGGGCUUGGUUAAUCAUCUGGGGUUCUCCCCAGUGCACUUUUCCAGUCCAGGCCAGCAUCAGUUUUCCCCGGGGGAUAAAGACUUCGGGAAUGUGGCUCCCUUCGGGGAGUGUUAUAGCCCGUUGUGUAAUACCCUGGGGGGGACUGAGGUUCGCGCAUCUGCAAGGAUGCUGGCGUAAUGGUCAUCAACGACCCGUCUUGAAACACGGACCAAGGAGUCGUCUUCGUAUGCGAGUGUUCGGGUGUCAAACCCCUACGCGUAAUGAAAGUGAACGCAGGUGAGAGCUUCGGCGCAUCAUCGACCGAUCCUGAUGUUCUCGGAUGGAUUUGAGUAAGAGCAUACGGGGCCGGACCCGAAAGAAGGUGAACUAUGCCUGUAUAGGGUGAAGCCAGAGGAAACUCUGGUGGAGGCUCGCAGCGGUUCUGACGUGCAAAUCGAUCGUCAAAUAUGGGCAUGGGGGCGAAAGACUAAUCGAACCUUCUAGUAGCUGGUUUCC
rnacentral:rRNA from 1 species